UACGUAGGGUGCGAGCGUUGCCCGGAUUUAUUGGGCGUAAAGGGCGCGUAGGCGGUGAGAUGCGUCUGUUGUGAAAUCGCUCGGCUCAACUGGGCGGGGUCAGCGGAUACGGUCUCACUUGAGCAAGCUAGGGGGCAAUGGAAUUCCCGGUGUAGUGGUGGAAUGCGUAGAUAUUGGGGAAGAACACCGGUGGCGAAGGCGGCGACCUGGUCCUUGACUGACGCUGAGGCGCGAAAGCUGGGGAGCAAACAGGAUUGAGAAACCC
rnacentral:rRNA from 1 species